AAAAGGAAGUGCAGACAUGUCUUAAACGAAUACGACUGGACAUGCCCCUGACACAUGAAGAUUUUACAAGUACAGAUGGUGCUGGUGACGAAGAGGUACAACGUGAACUGGAAACAUUUGGGGAUCCUGAUCUGUUCAGCAGAGAGAGUUUUAUUAAUGCUCCCCAAGGGCAGAUUGCCGAAGCCCUCG